rnacentral:rRNA from 1 species
AUACGUAGGGGGCGAGCGUUGUCCGGAAUGAUUGGGCGUAAAGGGCGCGUAGGCGGCCCGGUAAGUCUGGAGUGAAAGUCCUGUAUUUAAGAUGGGAAUUGCUUUGGAUACUGUCGGGCUUGAGUGCAGGAGAGGUAAGUGGAAUUCCCAGUGUAGCGGUGAAAUGCGUAGAGAUUGGGAGGAACACCAGUGGCGAAGGCGACUUACUGGACUGUAACUGACGCUGAGGCGCGAAAGUGUGGGGAGCAAACAGGAUUAGAUACCCUGGUAGUCCACACUGUAAACGAUGAAUGCUAGGUGUAAGAGGUAUCGACCCCUUUUGUGCCGGAGUCAACACAAUAAGCAUGCCGCCUGGGGAGUACGGCCGCAAGGUUGAAACUCAAAGGAAUUGACGGGG